UGUUCAUUUCCCUGACCCCAUAGCUCACUUAAAAAUGACUCAUGUAAAAAGAGAAAUUUAAAAAAUGAAAGGUUAUGAUGGUGAAAUUACACCAGCAUGGAAACAGGUGUUGCCUGAGUAAAAUCCCCGGUUUGGAAGGAUUUUGGCAUCAUUGUAGACGAGGACAACAACCAGGCAGCUGCAUAGACAAAAGUGAAAGUAGGUAUUUGUUUAAGAUGAGGUUUAUUAACAGUUCAUUAUGACAUUAAAAUGUAGGUUUUUGUUCAUUUAGACCAUAUACAGGCAAUAGAAAGUUUAAACCUGUACGACUGGUAUCUAAAUCGCCUACUAAAUAAAUCCAGGCUAAAUAAGAGGUAACCUGUUGCAGAAUAUGGCCUAUUAGAUUCUGGGAAUUGUUUACUUAAGUCUCAAUUAAACUAUUUGAUUAUGUAAACAAAGAUAUUGUUUGGUUAUGUCAGCUAUAGGCUUUCAUUAGGUUUUUCAAAGCAGUUUGAGUUGCCAAUGUGCCCCGUGUGACCUAUAAACAGUCAGCUCUAUGGAUUGAAGCUUCGCAUGAGUGACGACAAGGAGAGCUACUCAGUAUACAUAUCGAUGGAUUCUAUUCAAAUGUAACAUGUUUCAAGUGAAACUGUAGUUUUGUUUGUAUCCUGUUUAGUGAAUGAUUACUGUGAAUAAUAAUAGAGUUUAGGUCAUGAAACUGUGUGUAUGCUAAUUUUAGAAAAGGUUGACCUAAAUCAGAUAAGAGGAAAUUGCCUGGGAUCAGAGAGCAGGGUCAGGACCUGAAGAUGGACAGGUUGAGAUUCUGACAUCUAGGUAAACAAGAGAGGAGCAUGGACAUUCCACAGGGGAAAGGAGGGAAACUCAUUGGGGUCAUAACAUGUAUAGCCGGGGAGGUAAAGAGGGAGGUGAAGAAGGAGGGAAGAGGCAGGUGAAGAGGCAGGUGAAGAGGCAGGUGAAGAGGCAGGUGAAGAGGCAGGUGAAGAGGCAGGUGAAGAGGGAGGUGAAGAGGGAGGUAAAGAAGGAGGUAAAAGAGGGAGGUGAAGAGGGAGGUAAAGAAGGAGGGAAGAGGCAUGUGAAGAGGCAGGUGAAGAGGCAGGUGAAGAGGCAGGUGAAGAGGGAGGUGAAGAGGCAGGGGAAGAGGGAGGUGAAGAGGGAGGUGAAGAGGGAGGUGAAGAGGGAGGUGAAGAGGGAGGUGAAGAGGGAGGUGAAGAGGGAGGUGAAGAGGGAGGCGAAGAGGGAGGCGAAGAGGGAGGCGAAGAGGGAGGCGAAGAGGGAGGCGAAGAGGGAGGUGAAGAGGGAGGGGAGAGUAUAAGACUUGUGAGCUUUCUAAAAAAUGUGCACUCAGCUUCUUGGUAAUAACCACUUGAAACUUCUGGUCUCAGUUCCUUUUUUUGCAAAGAGUUUGCAAUGGCAUUUUGAUUUGUAACAG